rnacentral:misc_RNA from 1 species
GAAAUGCGAUAAGUAGUGUGAAUUGCAGAUUUCAGUGAAUCAUCGAAUCUUUGAACGCACAUUGCGCCCCUUGGUAUUCCAUGGGGCAUGCCUGUUCGAGCGUCAUUUGUACCCUCAAGCUCUGCUUGGUGUUGGGUGUUUGUCCCGUCUCCGCGCGUGGACUCGCCCCAAAGUGAUUGGCAGCCGGCGUACUGGUCCCGGAGCGCAGCACAUGUCGCGCAAACGAGUGCCUUGGUACGGCGGCGUCCAUAAGCCCCUCUCUCACGCUCUUGACCUCGGAUCAGGUAGGGAUACCCGCUGAACUUAAGC